rnacentral:rRNA from 1 species
UACACUCCUGCGGGAGGCAGCAGUGGGGAAUAUUGGACAAUGGGCGCAAGCCUGAUCCAGCCAUGCCGCGUGAGUGAUGAAGGCCCUAGGGUUGUAAAGCUCUUUCACCGGUGAAGAUAAUGACGGUAACCGGAGAAGAAGCCCCGGCUAACUUCGUGCCAGCAGCCGCGGUAAUACGAAGGGGGCUAGCGUUGUUCGGAUUUACUGGGCGUAAAGCGCACGUAGGCGGACUAUUAAGUCAGGGGUGAAAUCCCGGGGCUCAACCCCGAAACUGCCUUUGAUACUGGUAGUCUUGAGUUCGAGAGAGGUGAGUGGAAUUCCGAGUGCAGAGGUGAAAUUCGUAGAUAUUCGGAGGAACACCAGUGGCGAAGGCGGCUCACUGGCUCGAUACUGACGCUGAGGUGCGAAAGCGUGGGGAGCAAACAGGAUUAGAAACCCGUGUAGUCCCAUGA